rnacentral:rRNA from 1 species
GACGAACGCUGGCGGCGUGCUUAACACAUGCAAGUCGAACGGUAAGGCCCUUCGGGGUACACGAGUGGCGAACGGGUGAGUAACACGUGGGUGAUCUGCCCUGCACUUCGGGAUAAGCCUGGGAAUCUGGGUCUAAUACCGGAUAGGACUCCUGGCUUCAUGGUUGGGGGUGGAAAGCGUUUGCGGUGUGGGAUGGGCCCGCGGCCUAUCAGCUUGUUGGCGGGGUAAUGGCCUACCAAGGCGACGACGGGUAGCCGGCCUGAGAGGGUGACCGGUCACACUGGGACUGAGAUACGGCCCAGACUCCUACGGGAGGCAGCAGUGGGGAAUAUUGCACAAUGGGCGCAAGCCUGAUGCAGCGACGCCGCGUGAGGGAUGACGGCCUUCGGGUUGUAAACCUCUUUCAGCUAUGACGAAGCGCAAGUGACGGUAGUAGCAGAAGAAGGACCGGCCAACUACGUGCCAGCAGCCGCCGUAA